GUGAAAAUAAAUGUGAGCAUCAGAACUGGUGCCCCUUCAGAGGGCCCGACCCGGAGGUUGGGAACCACUGGACUAACUAAACUAACUGUAUAUAAAGUAGUUCAGACGGAGUGAUGUAAUGUAACUAAGUACUUCCACUCCACUACAUUUAGGAGGCAGAUAUUGUACUUCUUACUCCACUGCAUGUAUUUGCUUUGCUGUUCACUUUAGUUACUAGUUACUUUACAGAUUACAAGUAUCACAUUUUGAAAUGAAUUGAUUUUCUCAUCAAUCAGAUAAAAACAGUGUUUGUGAUGAUCAGCUGACUCACAGUAUACAGUUUAUACACACAUGUAAAUAUAUAGAUCAGUUACUUUACUGAUACUUUGAUACCUCAGUACAUUUAAUAUCAGAUACUUUAAGACUUUUAUUUGACUUUUGGGUUCUUACAGCACCGUUCACCUGCAGCAGCUCUGAUGAUGAUAAUAAUAAUAUUAAUAAUAAUAUUAAUAAUGUCACACAGAAACAGAUAUCAGUCAGCAGGAACAAUUUUCUGUGGAACGAGUACUUUAACUUUUGAUCCUUUCAGUGUAUUUCAGUGAAAGUACUUAAUGACUUUGACUUAAAUGAACUCGAGGAGGUUUAAGUGGUUCUGAAGCUGUUUAAAUGUGAUACUGAUGCCUCUAUAUGAGCCACAUAAACAAGUGAGAGCAUCAGAUUGUGUUUGUGUAUAUUGAUGAUAUUCAGUGUUGAUGUUUGUCACCAGGUCACAUUCUGACUCAUCCAGGUUGAAUAAAUCAUAAAGAUAAAUAUAUGUUUUAUGUGACAGGGCCCACCAGGACCAGCUGGAUAUAAAGGUUCUUGUAGCCUCUUUAAAAGAGAUUUGAACUGCCAGUCUUUUACUUGUAAUGGAGUAUUUUGACAUUAUUGUCAGUGAAGUGAAAGAUGUGAGUCCUUGUUGAAGAACAUCAUAACUCAGGCUCAGUCGUUGUCGUUCUCCAUCCGUCCACCAGAUGUCCUCAGACUUUUCCACCUGUCCCCGUCCCCUGACUCCCACGUCCACCUGCAUCAGCCCCGCAGGAUCUACCUGCUCCAUUUACUCUUGAACAAAACUGACACAUAUAAGCAUCUCUCCAAUGUGAAGAACUGUCUGUAUUCUGUAUUACACAACAGUGAUGUCACCAUUUAUGUCCCAAAUAAUGGAAACAAAUAAACUAAUAAAUGGUUCAGUAGAUAAAUAAAAAUAUAAGAAUACAUGGAGGUGUUAAUUAAUUUUAAAAAUGUGACUAAUAUACUAGUUCCGUUCCGUUUUCUUUUCUGCUUUUUUCCGUGAGGGUUGCGGAGAUGUUUUAUCUCCCCUUUUUUCAGGGGAGGUUACUGGGGCCAAAUCCAGUGACUGUGGGCGAAGGCCAGGGCACACCCUGAACGAGUCGCCAGCUCAUUGCAGUGGCUGCCACACAGGUGCCAACUGCGCAUCAGGAGCAAUUUGGGGGUUCAGUAUCUUGCUCAAGGAUACUUCGGCAUGUAGCUCAGUUCCACCCCAGGGGAGCUGGGAUUCGAACCAGUGAUCUUCCCUAGUCCAGCAGCUCUACCCACUGAGCUACAGCCGCCCCAACUAAUAUACUAGUUAUAUUUCUCUUUAAAUUUGCUUCUGAAUAUGUUUAACUUUUUAAAAUUUC
ensembl:lncRNA